CCUACGGGAGGCAGCAGUGAGGAAUAUUGGUCAAUGGCCGGAAGGCUGAACCAGCCAAGCCGCGUGAAGGACGAAGGUGCCAAGCAUUGUAAACUUCUUUUGUCAGGGGACAAAAUGAGGCUCGAGAGCCUGACCGAGGGUACUUGAAGAAAAAGCAUCGGCUAACUCCGUGCCAGCAGCCGCGGUAAUACGGAGGGUGCGAGCGUUAUCCGGAUUUAUUGGGUUUAAAGGGUGCGUAGGCGGGCUGUUAAGUGAGUGGUAAAAGCCCGGGGCUCAACCGCGGCGAGCCGGUGAAACUGGGGGUCUUGAGACGUCGAGAGGUAUGCGGAAUGCGCAGUGUAGCGGUGAAAUGCUUAGAUAUCGCGAAGAACUCCGAUUGCGAAGGCAGCAUACCGUCGGCGAUCUGACGCUGAGGCACGAAGGCGUGGGUAUCGAACAGGAUUAGAUACCCUGGUAGUC
rnacentral:rRNA from 1 species